CAAAUGAACUGACUCGACUGCGCGCGCUGCUCGAUGACGUCACGUCGAAGGCGCAGUUCGCGCUGCACAUCCGCACGCACUCCAGCGGGCCGUGCUACGAGUGCAGCGUGUGCGGACGCACCUUCGUGCGCGACAGCUACCUCAUACGACAUCACAACCGCGUGCACCGCGAGAACCACAGCAACAUGUCGGCGAACAGCAUCGGCACCAUCGGCAGCGUUAACAACGCCAACAACUCCAACAACGGCAACUACGACUCGCCCGGCGUUUGCGAUCUCAGUUUUGUGCCGAUGGUGAACCGCUACAUGACGUCGCAGGGCACACAGGUGUCGAUGCAGGACACGCAGAGCAAGAUGUCUGCCAUGUCGCCGCAGUCCAUCGCCUCCAUGUCGUCUCCGCCGCCGCCGCACACGCCCACGCCGCAGCCGCCAAUGGUGCUGCGCCACGCUGAUUGAUCCGCACUUCAGCUUUUCAUAUCCGUCGACUGAUGUGAACAACCCGAGUGAGUGCAAUAUAGAGUGAGGCAGCCACGUCGGCAGCUAGCUCGCAGGCGCGGGCUUAUACACAGAUCAGAAUUUAUUUUAUAUUAUUAUUUAUUUAUCCGUUUGGUUUCGUCGGCCGUGACGCGGGCGGACGCGAGUGGAGUGGAGCGGAGUGGAGUGGAGUGGAGUAGAGUAGAGUAGAGUGGAGUGGGGCGGGAGGAUGGCAGCAACCCUCGAGCAGCACAGUACCCCACGAGGACGCAGCCAGUCACGUAGCGGUACCGCCUAUGAUUGCAUUGUGAUUUAUUGUCCGCAACUGUGAUUUAUCUCUACCAUCGCACUUUUAUAUUAAUCCGCGGUGGAAUAUAUAAAUCGAUACUUAACUCUCAUCGUAUAGAUUGUAGGCCUAAAUUUUUGAUCUCAUAUUCUAAUUUGCUUAGUGAUAUAAACUUUCGGUAUCGUGAAUGGUGAAUCACCGACUUUGGAAAUUCUAAAUUUUUUCUAACGUUCAGUCGCUUGUCGUCCCCAGUCUUCAUUAGUCGUAGUGAAUGUAACGAUAUCUUAUUGCGAUGCUUUAACUUACGUGUAGAUCGUCUCAGUAGAUGGAGUUCGAUAAUUUUAUAGAACUGUUACCGAUAUAAUGUGAAGUAUUUUGAACGGUGAGAAAUUUAAGGGACUCUUUAGUAUGAUACUUCCACCGAUCCGUAGAAACGCUUUAAUGAUGUGGUUCAGGUUUCAUAAUAAUAUAUGACAAGUACAAAAUAAUGAAAAAAAAAAAUUGAAGAAGAUUCGCGGAGUCCUCGGAGGCAAUAAUAAGCUUCACAGAAUAAAUUUAAUAUGAUGUUUAUUGGAGUAAUCCAGAAAAGUGCCUGUUGCAACAUAAAUUUGGCAAUAUUUUUUAAUCGUAUUUCGUUCAUAAUGAAAUUACGUUCGGUGUUCUAUGUGUCGCGUUUGUCGCGCGGUUGUGGCGCGACUGUCGCGCGUUUGUGACGCGACGUCUCCAGUAUCAGUUGUGAAGCUUCUGGAACUUUGUGUGCCUUCUAGCUGAUAGCGAUGUUAGGCAGUGUCAGUACAAUCGUAACACCAUCGAUGACGCUUCCGUUUCGUUCACUCGUCUCGACCUAGUUUGUGCGUUACGUUACGUUACGUUAGUUGUUCGCGUACGUCGUGUUAGACCAUCACUUGGGAUGUUUUUCCAAAUUGUUAUACUGUACUGUAUAUUUGGCUGAUGUUUUGAGACUUUAUUACCAUUGCUUUUUUAAUUCGAAUAAUAGUAGUAACGUCUAGAGUAUAGUGCAGUAGUCUUCCAAAACCUUGAGACGAUGUUGUUUUGUGUCCGCUGCGGGGGUUCCUUAGGUUUGCCAUUAUUGAUAUCAAAGAUAGAUUGGUGCCAUUUCUAUGUAAAUGAUGUGGUAGCGUAAGUUUAGUUAAGUUUGCAGGUCAGGGUAGAUGGAAAUAAAAUAUUGUAGAGAACUCGACUUCUCCUAGUGUUAUGUACCGACUUCUGAGCCACUGUUUAUUUUUAUUUUUAUAUAUGUUUUUUUGUUUGACAUCUGAUUGAUUAUAUUGUUUUUGUUUUCCGUUCACACGUUUUGUGUACAUUAUUUUAUUUCCACGAUGCGGUGCGUGUCCAUUGAGCCGAGGGUCGAAAUUGUAAAUAUUGGUAGGGUUUAUUUAUUCGAAUGAUAUGAAGUAAUACGAUUCAAAAUUUAAUGUAAGAGCGUAUGAUUUGUAGAACUGUUUUUCUUCUACAAUCAUAGAGUAUAUCGAACUGAUGAAAAAAAAAAAUUGGAAUUAAUCAUAGAAUAUUUAGCACAGAAGUAUACUUUUGGGUAUUAAAAUCAAAAUUUCCUUGUAGAUAUACUUACAUAAUGAUAAUAAUAAAUAUACAUAUGGAUGUUGUUUGAUAGUCCUCAAUAUUUUUUUAUAUUUUGAUAGUUCUGUAUUUGAAACACGAGAAAAAUAGGCCAAUAUCUCAUUUAUCAUUUACAUAAUAUGAAAUGAAUAACAUGUAUGUACUUUAAGAUGAAGCAACAUGACGGAUGCAUUUAGUUUCCCGGAAAAAGAAGUAUAAAAUUAGAGAGUAGUGUCAAAAUAUAUUUUUCAUGUUUAUAAAAGAAAAAAAAUCUUUCUUUAUUAAGUUUCUUACCAAGCCAUUGAGAACAGUAUUAUUUAGAGAAACUAGAACUUUGGUUUAAAGCGUAGUAUAAAUCUCCGAUUACCAGAAAGAGACAGCCAUUGAAAUAAUUAAAAAAAAAAAAGUUAUUUACCAAUAGUUUGUAGCAACAUUGUCAAGUACCACGGUGUUUAUCAAUGUUGGUACCGUUGUAUUAUCCAUAGAUAUAUGAUGGGAAUAGAAACACCAACAUAGUAAACUAGGUACAUAUAAAGUAUAUAAAUGUUUAUAGCGUCUCGCCGGACUCGGGGAGGAACGAUUCUUUGAGGAAUUAUAGAAUUAGUAAUAUAUUUUUGUUGUUAUCUGUUCCUGUCUUUAUUGAUUGUUUUUUUUUUCUUUAUUAUAUUUAUAUUAUUGUAUCUGUUGUCUCUCGCCGAGUCUGGAGUCGUUGAGAAAAGAAUGCGGCGCUGGUGCGUUGCGAAUGGCGCUCCCCGUUUACAACCCAUAUUUACGUAUCGAUUAGGGCAAAGGGCGCAAUACGCAAUUCACCAGCAGGGUUAUUAUGUAUCUCAGUGUACCAUUCAAAUAAUAAGACACUACAUGGUUUUUCAUCGUAUUUUCUUUUAUGUGAUCAUCUAACAUAGUUAUUUCAUCAAAAUUACCUCGACAACGUCAUUUUACAUCGAGUGGCAGUGAUUUGUUGUUUCUACGAUCAUAAAACAUGCUGCCCAAAAAUAUAUAUAAAAAAAAAAAGAAAUUAAGAGUACAUGGUUUGCUAGAAUCGCGCUGCAACUGCAAACAGCCUCACAUCACAUCUGAUAUUGGAACAAAAAAAAUCUAACAUAAUUACGUAAAUAGCGGUUUUUCGUUAAAAUUACUUGCUUACUGUCACUUUACGUAAAAUAACGAUAACUAUUUAAUUUCGUUGAAAACACAAUGUUAGAUGAAUGCAAAAACGAAAAUACGAUGAAAAACAAUUUAAUGACUCAUUAUUUGAAUGGUACACUGAGGUACAUAAUAGGCCCGCUGUGCCGGCGAACCAGUUAAGACGCAUAAAUUAGUAGAGGAACCUGUAAAGCUUCGCUGUCUGUGGUUCAUGAAUUUGUGUGUCUUCUCUGCCCCAACUAUUUUACAUACCGAUGUUAGUUACUAUACAUUUAGAGGGUAAUAUUAAAAAAAUAUUGUAUAUGUAUUUGAUUGCCUAACCGUCGAGUUAUGUUACACAAAUAUACUUCUCAAUUUUUCGUUUUCGACCGUAGAAAAGACUGAAUCAACAAUAUGAUACACACCAUUUGUAAGUAUACUCACGAAGAUUGGCAAAUUAGGUCGUAUUUGUUUCCGUGUAUAGCGUUGAGAGCGGUUGUUUUGUCGGACCAAUCACCGACCAGUGCACUCGUAUAACUUCGGUUGAAGAAAUCUUACAUAUCCUUAUAGUACAAGAUCCGGCAUAAUAAAUAUAUACCCUCAUCUGUUAUUUCAUUGGAAUGAGAAAUAAAUAGAAAAUAUUCACAUUGACACAUGGCACGUAGGUUGCCUAGUUCAAUUGCGGCCUAACAGUAUUAAAUGAUUUUUUUUGAAAUUAGAGUUUACUCCAUAAGAAUCGUUUUUUAAAAAAGCAAAGCAAAAGCAGUAAAAUUCGAUGAACGAAUGACAGCGUUAUGUUUUUUGUGCGCAACCUAUGCCGCGGCCUGCUGCUCGGUUGCGCGCACCUUUCGUUUUUCAGGCGUCAGUAUUGAGACGUACAUAGUGUAUGCUGCGGGGCAACAUACACUUAUUUAGACAUUCGAUCUGAAAGAGUAAACUCCAUUCGUGCGUCGGAGCUGACACACACUUUUUUUAUUUAUUCUCCUUUCCGAAUUGGUUAAUUUAAAAAAAUCGUACACUAGUUAAUAGAAUAUACCCAAAAGAAUUGAAAAAGUAAAAGUUACCUGCUUUUACACUGCAACUGUGGGGUUGCCAGAUAUAAACAAUUAAUUAAUGUUAUACAAAUACUCCCUAACAGUUAUUCAGUCGUCUAAUAUGUCUAAUGAAAGCUUAUUAUAUGCUUAAUUGAACUGUAUUAGGUUGCUUUCGUUCUUGUUGGUUGGUUUCCUGGAUUUUGUAUGAAAAAUAUGUUUGGCCGCAAUUUAACUAGGCAUUAAUUAACCUAUUUGCAAUGUAUCAUUUAUUUCGUAGCACUAAUGAAUAACAGAUGAGGGUAUACAUUUGUGAUGCCGGAUCUUAGACCAUAUCCUGAAUACUAUGUAUAUCGCGUCGUGAGGCGGAGCUAGUAGCUACACUAGUCGACGCGUUGUCACUCGUCACAGUAAUCGUACGUAUAAGCUACAUAUUUAGUUCUAUCUUAUCGUUAGAUUUACGCAUACUUCCGCUUUGCCAACAUAUUGCGUUGCUUACAUUCAUAAUCAUACGAGAGUACAGCCUAAGGAUUUUAACUAUUUUUUUUUUAUAUACUGAGAGCUAUUUCUAAGUCGCCGAUUUAUACAAUUUGUAGACUAUAUUAUUGUUAUAAAUCAAAUUGUGGCUCUGAGCCAGACUCGACGCCUUUUUGGAGUAAUUUACAUUGUAUGUAAUAUUAUUGUACUUUUAAUUCCUAUUUGAUUAAGAGUCGACGAGCGGUGAUCAUGGCAUGAUUCUUUUUUAAAACUGCGGUCAUUUAGUCAUAGCUCUGCAGAGUUUUUUUUUUAUUGACCAAUAUUUUUAACUACAACUGUUUUUUCUUUUAUUGUUAAAAUUUUUAGGCUAGUUUUAUAUUUUAUCGAAUAAGUUUAGAUUUGUUAACUGUGGUGUAUUACAUUGCACGUGAAUAUGAUAUCACCUUUACAGCCUGCUUUACGUCGCACACUGCUUCUUUAGUCUGAAUAGAUUGUGAUAAAUUGUAUUAUAAUUAUUAGUUACAUGUUAAACGGCUGUUAACUUUUACCAGCUAUUGGACUGGGCGAUGAUCUAAUCAAAUGCCGUUGGAUCAGUCGUAUAUUACGUUAUUUAUCCUAAUGAAUGUAUACGUUUAUUUCUGUUAAUGAUUGAUUAUAUAAUUUCUUGAGACUGACCACAACGCUACAAGUAGGUAUAAAACCUCUCUUUUACUGUGUUAUUGUCACCUCUAUCUAGAAUAUAUAUUCUUUGAUGUUUAUCGUUGUUUCCUGUUUUUUGUACGCAUUUUGUGUAAGUCUGUAAAGAGGCUGUAAGGGCAAUUAUGUAGUCAGCAUUAUGUAUAUGCUUUAAUGUGAUUUUUUAAAUGUACUCUUUAUUGUAAUAGUAUCAUCUAUCAAUAUAAUUAGCGAACUAACAAAGCGAUUUUUAAAUUUUUUUUUAUGUUCAUAGUGAUUUAUAUUGAGAUCAAAAUAAAUACAGAGUUUAUUUAAUUUUAUGGAAAAUAUACAUUGUAAAAUUAUUAGUGCUCUUUUUGUAAGGGCUCUAUUGAAAAAGAAAACUAUAUGAAUGCAAAAUAACAAGUCACGAUUCUUUUAGAGGUCGCCAUGUAGUGGAGAAAAAUAAACGUGCCAUGAUAUUUGUGGCUAA